rnacentral:rRNA from 1 species
AGCGAACGCUGGCGGCAGGCCUAACACAUGCGAGUCGAGCGGACGUAGCAAUACGUCAGCGGCAGACGGGAGAGUAACACGUGGGAACGCGCCCUUCGGUUCGGAAUACCUCAGGGAAACUUGGGCUAAUACCGAAUACGCCCUUACGGGGAAAGAUUCAUUGCCGAAGGAACGGCCCGCGUCCGAUUAGCUUGUUGGUGAGGUAACGGCUCACCAAGGCGACGAUCCGUAGCUGGUCUGAGAGGAUGACCAGCCUCACUGGGACUGAGACACGGCCCAGACUCCUACGGGAGGCAGCAGUGGGGAAUAUUGGACAAUGGGCGCAAGCCUGAUCCAGCCAUGCCGCGUGGGUGAUGAAGGCCCUAGGGUUGUAAAGCCCUUUCGGCGGGGAAGAUAAUGACGGUACCCGCAGAAGAAGCCCCGGCUAACUUCGUGCCAGCAGCCGCCGUAAAAC